GCUCUUCUGCAUUCACAGAACUCCUGUCAUCGGUCCAGAAGCAGGCACACGGAGAAGGGAACCAACUCCCCUGGCAGAGAAUACCUACCAUGCUGCGUCAUGGCGAGGCAAUUAAACAAGACAUGUAAAGAAUGCAGGGGAACACGCACAAAGUAAGUAUUAGCUGUUGCUGAU
rnacentral:lncRNA from 1 species